rnacentral:rRNA from 1 species
UACGUAGGGAGCAAGCGUUGUUCGGAUUUACUGGGCGUAAAGGGCGCGUAGGCGGCGCGGUAAGUCACUUGUGAAAUCUCUGAGCUUAACUCAGAACGGCCAAGUGAUACUGCAGUGCUAGAGUGCAGAAGGGGCAAUCGGAAUUCUUGGUGUAGCGGUGAAAUGCGUAGAUAUCAAGAGGAACACCUGAGGUGAAGACGGGUUGCUAGGCUGACACUGACGCUGAGGCGUGAAAGCCAGGGGAGCAAACGGG